ACUCAAAGGAAUAGACGGGGACCCGCACAAGCGGUGGAGCGUGUGGUUUAAUUCGACGCUAAGCGGAGCACCUCACCCAGGUUUGACAUCCCGGUCGUAUCCCUAAGAAACUAGGGAGUCAGUCUGCUGGACCGGUGACAGGUGAUGCAUGGUCGUCGUCAGCUCGUGUCGUGAGAUGUUGGGUUAAGUCCCGCAACGAGCGCAACCCUUGUCGUAUGUUGUAUUUUUCAUACGAGACUGCCUCGGUCAACGAGGAGGAAGGCGAGGAUGACGUCAGAUCAGCAUGUCCCUUAUACCUGGGGCGACACACGCGCUACAAUGGCCAGUACAAUGGGUCGCGAAACCGUAAGGUGGAGCUAAUCCCAUCAAAGCUGGUCCCAGUUCGGAUUGGAGGCUGCAACUCGCCUCCAUGAAGCCGGAAUCGCUAGUAAACGCGGAUCAGCCACGCCGCGUUGAAUACGUUCUCGGGUCUUGCACACACCGCCCGU
rnacentral:rRNA from 1 species